rnacentral:rRNA from 1 species
AACGAACGCUGGCGGCGUGGAUUAGGCAUGCAAGUCGAACGUGAAAGCGCCGACGUAGCAAUACGAAGGUGCAAGUAAAGUGGCGAACGGGUGAGUAACGCGUGGGAAAUUUGCUCCAGAGUGGGGGAUAACAGUUCUAACGGACUGCUAAUACCGCAUGAUGCCAUGGGUCGCAUGAUUUCAUGGUUGAAGGAGGCCUCUGUUUCAAGCUUUCGCUCCGGAAUGAUCCCGCGUUCUAUUAGCUUGUUGGUGGGGUAACGGCCUACCAAGGCGACGAUGGAUAGCCGGCCUGAGAGGGUGGUCGGCCACACUGGGACUGAGAUACGGCCCAGACUCCUACGGGAGGCUG